UAACGACUCUCGGCAACGGAUAUCUCGGCUCUCGCAUCGAUGAAGAACGUAGCGAAAUGCGAUACUUGGUGUGAAUUGCAGAAUCCCGCGAAUCAUCGUUGCGCCCGAAGCCAUCUGGUCGAGGGCACGUCUGCCUGGGUGUCACGC
rnacentral:rRNA from 1 species